ACGUAGGGUCCAAGCGUUAAUCGGAAUUACUGGGCGUAAAGCGUGCGUAGGCGGUCUCGCAAGUCCGAUGUGAAAUCCCCGGGCUUAACCUGGGAACUGCGUUGGAAACUAUGAGACUCGAGUGCGGCAGAGGGGGGUGGAAUUCCAGGUGUAGCAGUGAAAUGCGUAGAUAUCUGGAGGAACACCGAUGGCGAAGGCAGCCCCCUGGGUCAGCACUGACGCUCAUACACGAAAGCGUGGGGAGCAAACAGGAUUAGAUACCCUGGUAGUCCACGCCCUAAACUAUGGCAACUAGUUGUUGGAGGAUGAACUCCUUUAGUAACGCAGCUAACGCGUGAAGUUGCCCGCCUGGGGAGUACGGUCGCAAGAUUA
rnacentral:rRNA from 1 species